AUGGAGUAAUUAUCACCGCAUGCUCCACAGUUUCCAUUAUUCGCUAUCCAUUGUACCUGCCAAUGUGAACAAAUUACGAUUUGAGAAAUGAAAAAGUUAUUCACUCUGAGUGGGCGAUUAUUGUGUUGGAAUGGAAUCUUCCUCGUAAUAUAUCUCUAUGUCAUGUUUAUUGACAUUCUCGCCACCGGUGUAAAAUUAAUGUUACACUGGCGAUGAGAGUCUUAACGUACGAUUCCUACGUGCUGGGAUACAAGAAACAACGGAAAGGAACACCUGGACAUCUUAUAUCUCUACAAACUGUCACCUGAAAUACAAGGAACCCUCAAUUCCUAUAGUGAAUGUAUCAAUAAUUUUUUCUCAUAUAUAGCGGUUCAUAAGAUAUUUCGUUUCAAACACAGGUAUAAGAGUUGACUCGGGUAAAGAGUCUCUGCGAGCCGUGCCCCGUACGGCGGGUUGCUUGUACUUGGCGCGAGACUCGACCGAGUCCCUUGAUUAAUUUUUGUAAUUUCACUUUGGAAAUGUAUCGUGCCUGUGAGUAAUAUAUAUUUAGAGGGGCCAUCUUCUUAUGGAAUUCAAUGAACAAGAGUCCUUUAAAUUUUGUUUGACUCAUGGAAACUAUACAUAUAUGUAUGUUUAUAUUGGAUGACACAUAAAACAUCAAUCUUAUGAUUCAUCAUAAAUCCCAAAGUACUGACUACUUUAAUUAAUAUUCGAUCGCUAAAGUGUCUAAUGAAAGAUUGAUGCAAUUGAUUUG